CUGUGAAAUUCCAACAUUUCUUGAUGGUUUGGGUCGACGGAGAGAGCAGCUCGACAGUCACGUAGGGCACCCAAGACAUCACCAAUGUGCUCAUAGAAUGCAGCCCUCAAGUGUAGAAGGUGAAGGUCUGCUUUGAAUGCAAUUGCCCGUGAUAGUUCUGCAAUGGCUUCCUUCUCCUUGUGGUUGUCCAUCAACACUGCAGCUCGAUAUUUGUAAGGGUACACUCGAAGUGGAUCUAAUUUUGU
rnacentral:misc_RNA from 1 species